CGUGUAGGUGGGCCUUUAAGUCGGUGGUGAAUCCUGCAGCUUAACUGCAGAAUGGCCGUCGAAACUGGAGGUCUUGAGUACGGAAGAGGGAAAUGGAAUUCAUGGUGUAGCGGUGAAAUGUGUAGAUAUCAUGAAGAACACCAGUAGCGAAGGCGGUUUCCUGGUCCGUCACUGACACUGAGGCGCGAAAGCGUGGGGAGCAAACAGGAUUAGAUACCCUGGUAGUCCACGCCUUAAACGAUGGGUACUCGGUGCUGGGCCGUAAGGUUCAGUGCCAAAGCUAACGCAUUAAGUACCCCACCUGGGGAGUACGAUCGCAAGGUUGAA
rnacentral:rRNA from 1 species